AUUGAACGCUGGCGGCAUGCUUUACACAUGCAAGUCGAACGGUAACGCGGGGGCAACCCUGGCGACGAGUGGCGAACGGGUGAGUAAUACAUCGGAACAUGUCCUGGAGUGGGGGAUAGCUCGGCGAAAGCCGGAUUAAUACCGCAUACGCUCUGAGGAGGAAAGCGGGGGACCUGGUAACGGGCCUCGCGCUGCGGGAGUGGCCGAUGUCGGAUUAGCUAGUUGGUGAGGUAAAGGCUCACCAAGGCGACGAUCCGUAGCUGGUCUGAGAGGAUGAUCAGCCACACUGGGACUGAGACAUGGCCCAGACUCCUACGGGAGGCAGCAGUGGGGAAUUUUGGACAAUGGGGGCAACCCUGAUCCAGCCAUGCCGCGUGAGUGAAGAAGG
rnacentral:rRNA from 1 species